rnacentral:rRNA from 1 species
CCUACGGGCGGCAGCAGUGAGGAAUAUUGGUCAAUGGACGAGAGCCUGAACCAGCCAAGUAGCGUGAAGGAUGACUGCCCUACGGGUUGUAAACUUCUUUUAUAAAGGAAUAAAGUGAGGCACGUGUGCCUUUUUGUAUGUACUUUAUGAAUAAGGAUCGGCUAACUCCGUGCCAGCAGCCGCGGUAAUACGGAGGAUCCGAGCGUUAUCCGGAUUUAUUGGGUUUAAAGGGAGCGUAGAUGGGUUGUUAAGUCAGUUGUGAAAGUUUGCGGUUCAACCGUAAAAUUGCAAUUGAUACUGGCAGCCUUGAGUACAGUUGAGGUAGGCGGAAUUCGUGGUGUAGCGGUGAAAUGCUUAGAUAUCACGAAGAACCCCGAUUGCGAAGGCAGCUUACUAAACUGUCACUGACAUUGAUGCUCGAAAGUGUGGGUAUCAAACAGGAUUAGAUACCCGUGUAGUC